rnacentral:rRNA from 1 species
CCUACGGGCGGCAGCAGUGGGGGAUAUUGCACAAUGGGGGAAACCCUGAUGCAGCGACGCCGCGUGCGUGAAGAAGUAUUUCGGUAUGUAAAGCUCUAUCAGCAGGGAAGAAAAUGACAGUACCUGACCAAGAAGCACCGGCUAACUACGUGCCAGCAGCCGCGGUAAUACGUAGGGGGCAAGCGUUAUCCGGAUUUAUUGGGUGUAAAGGGAGCGUAGACGGUUAUGUAAGUCUGGAGUGAAAGCCCGGGGCCCAACUCCGGGACUGCUUUGGAGACUGUGUAACUGGAGUUCAGGAGGGGCAGGCGGAAUGCCUGGUGUAGCGGUGAAAUGCAUAGAGAUCAGAAGGAACACCGGCGGCGAAGGCAGCCUGCUAGACUGAAACUGACGUUGAGGCACGAAAGCGUGGGGAGCAAACAGGAUUAGAUACCCCAGUAGUC